AUACGGAGGGUGCAAGCGUUACUCGGAAUCACUGGGCGUAAAGCGCGCGCAGGCGGGCUGAUAAGUUGGAUGUGAAAGCCUACGGCUCAACCGUAGAACUGCAUCCAAAACUGUCAGUCUAGAGUGUGGGAGAGGAAGAUGGAAUUAGUUGUGUAGGGGUAAAAUCCGUAGAGAUAACUAGGAAUACCAAAAGCGAAGGCAAUCUUCUGGAACACUACUGACGCUGAGGCGCGAAGGCGUGGGGAGCAAACAGGAUUAGAAACCCUAGUAGUCC
rnacentral:rRNA from 1 species